rnacentral:rRNA from 1 species
AUUGAACGCUGGCGGCAGGCCUAACACAUGCAAGUCGAGCGAGCGGCGGACGGGUGAGUAAUGUAUGGGGACAUGCCAGAUAGAGGGGGAUAACUACUGGCAACGGUGGAUAAUACCGCAUAAUAUCGGAUGAGCCCACAUGGGAUUAGCUAGUAGGUGGGGGAAAGGCUCACCUAGGCGAAGAUCCCUAGCGGGUCUGAGAGGAUGACAAGCCACCCUGGUACUGAGACACGGUCCAGACUCUUACGGGAGGCAGCAGGUGGGAAUAUUGCACAAUGGGGUCAAGCCUGAUGCAGCCAUGCGGCGUGUAUGAAGAAGGCCUUAGGGUUGUAAAGCACUUUUAGCGGGGAAGCGUUAUUCACAGAAGAAGCACCGGCGAAGUCCGUGCCAGCCGCCGCGGUAAUAC